AGAUUUGAUCAUGGCUCAGGACGAACGCUGGCGGCGUGCUUAACACAUGCAAGUCGAACGAUGAUCCGGUUUCGGCCGGGGAUUAGUGGCGAACGGGUGAGUAACACGUGGGCAACCUGCCCUCCACUCUGGGAUAACUCCGGGAAACCGGGGCUAAUACCGGAUAUGACCCUGCAUCGCAUGGUGCGGGGUGGAAAGUU
rnacentral:rRNA from 1 species